ensembl:ncRNA asRNA:CR31144 antisense RNA:CR31144
GAUCGGAAGUUCGCACACACACAAAACAGCGCACUGGUUGAUUUAUACUUCAAAAAACAAUAGAUAUUGUAUUGCAGCAAAAUCAAUCGCUUAUUUUCUAAGAGGCCGAUCAGAAGGAAGGCAGCAGAUGACUCGAGUAGAAAGCACGUGUCGGCUGCCAUUUUGUGUGUGUGUACACCCGGUGCAAAGAAAAUGGCGACAAAUGGAGUAGGAAGAACGACCACGUGGUCCUCGGAUACAUACCAGUUCUUGUAGAAGCGACGACGGCACUCCUCGGAGAGAUGCUGGGCCCAAACGUUGACCAGGGCACGCAGACCGAAGGGAGUCUCGAUGUAGCCGACAGCACCGACCACAAUCAUGGGCGGGGUCUCCAGAACGGUGACGGCCUCGACCACCUCCUUCUUGUUGAUCUCUGCAAGAGAAAGAAAAGCCAUUAAUACCGAGUAAUGGUAUUCCCUAAGAGAAAUCAUCUACAGAGUGGGCUUGGUCAGUCCGCCCUAGUUGAGAUAAUCACGGUUAAUCAUAUGUGUUCUAACCAUAAAUCUUCUAGUAUACUCAU